CACAGUGGGAAGACAGCCGACAAAGACCGGUGAGGAAGAUAGCCGACGCAAAUGGGCAACGAAGGUCGGUGACAACAAUAGCCGACACAGAUCGGCGUUGUUUGUUUUCUGUUGACGGCAGACCACAAUUUACCCAAACACUUCAAGAGAGGCAUAAGUGAAGAGGUGUGAAGGGGAAGAGGUCUGCCCUAAACAAUGGAAAUAAAUGAGAGUAUUUCGGUAAAUUCACAUUUUUUUUAGUUGUCAUCUUCCCAAACUGGAAAAGGACCCACAAGUCUUGGCCUUUUGCUUUUUGCACCAGUUGAUAAAUAAGCUGCUUUUUUCAAUGUUGCCAAACUCCAAUUUAGUAAUAGUUUAUUUUUCUAGUUAAUCUAUCCAUUAAGAGGCAUAUUCAUUUGGGCAAUUCAACAAACACCACACAAAUAGUUAAAAAUCUAUCACUUUUACUUAUCAAUUGAAACAAAUUCCUAAUUUCAAAUAGGAUAAAAUAAGCAGAAUGAUCACAAAAUUUUAUCAAAUAUCAAAAAUUAAAAUAGAACAUACCAAAUUGAAGAGAAAGGGUUUCUAAGGUUGAUUCCAGCUUCGCUAACCAGUGUCUCCACCGAAUUUGAUACAGAUUCUUACAGUGGCAAUUUCCUUCUCUGAAGAAAAUUGAGGGCAGUUUUCACCACUUGGUCGAAGAAAAAUGAAACUUCCAGAGAUUCUUUUGUUGUGUCAUUUGCUUUAAAUGUUGGGGAUAGGGGUGCUCAUGGGCCCAUCACCGGCCGAAUUAAGAUCAAUAUUUGUAAGAUUUGAAAAAGAAAAAAAAAAAAGAAGUCUACUCUAUAAGAUCGGAUCAAAUUACAAUUUUAACUUCAUUUAAUUUUUAAGUUGGAUUUAGGAUGAUAAACUUUAGCUUAUACCUGCAUGAGUCGCUUAUUUAUAAAAUAUUAAUAUUAAUUUUAAAUUAUUUAAUUAUAAAAUUAACUAGAAAAAUAAUAAAAAUAUAAGAAAAGCAUAUAUAUUUAUUUUUAUUGGGUUAAAUGGGUCGAUUUGCAAUUUAAAUUUUUUUUAGAUAAAAACCAAUAAACUUAAAAAAUAAAGAAAAAUAGAGCAAAUCCCAUAAGCCCAAAUAAAGAAACCUAUACAAACUAAAAAAAAUGCCCAAAAAAAUAAAGCUAGUAACCAUGGAUAGCCAAAGCUCAUGAACACACACAACAGUAAUGGGUAAACCAUUAUGGGUGCUGAUAAUCCCAAAAUUUAAGAACCAUGAAAGGAGAAAGCACUCUCUGUGUCAGAAUUACAGAGAAGCUUUCAAACUCUUCUCCGUAUGCACAAACACCCAGAUCUGCUACACGAUAGAAGUGUAUUUGGAGUGUAUCGAAAACGCGUCAAAAAGUCAUUGAAUGAGCAUUGGGAGUCUCUAGAGAGAGAAAGUCCCACAGCCCUCUUCACGGGAUUGUCAGAAAGUCAUUGGAGGGGGUAUUGGGAAUCUCUUGAGAUAGAAAGUUGCGCACCCGUCCACGAGAUAAGUAACUAAUUAGUUGAGAGAAGCGAAAGUGAGAGUAUCAAAUGUAAACAUACAUAUAUAUGGCCAUUCAAGUGUGUGUAAUGUGAAAAUAUAUACACACCAACUAAAGUGCGUAUUAAAUAAUAUAUAUUAACAUAUAUGUGUGGGAUCAUAUAUAAAUAAACUAGUGAAGGCUACUUGACAAUUUCUUUUAUAAAACAAUUCAAAGUUAAUAAAAAAAUGAAAGAAAAAUCUUACACCUUCAAGUCUUUCUAGUUUCAUCAAUUGUCUCAAAAACUAAACAAAAAUUAGCCAAAAAACAUCGAAAAAAAAAUUUAAAAAAAAUUUGACAUGGUAACAUAUUGAAGUUUGUUAAAGGAAAAAAGCUUUUCAAAUAUUUGCAAAAUAAAAAUAUAAUGACCUUACAAGAAUUGUUGUGGAUUUAAUCAAGAACAUGAAAGUCUUAAAAGGUAAACACAUUCUUAUGUCAACACAAAUAUACAUUUUGAAAAGGGAUCCUUUUACAAUAUACACUUUUUUUUAAUGUAUAUUAUAUGUAAGGUAUGAUAAUUUAUAGUGUUGAUAUCACAAAUGUCAUAGUUAAAUUACUUAAUAUGUGGUUGAUUACUUGCCAUAAAAAUUGGAUGAGUGUAAUAAUGAAAUUAAUUACCAAAAAGUAAUGGACAAUACUAUUAAUUGGCAAAUAGUUUAAUGAGAACAUUCUAGAUAAUUAGUUUUUGAGGAUGAAGAAAUGCAGUUUAUAUAAAAACCAAAGCAACUUACAAGAUAAUGAAAAAGAAAAAUACCACAAAGGCCACAAACCCAAAUAAAGAACCUACUCGAACUACAAAAAGCCGCCAAAGAAAAUAAUUAAAAAAGCAACGACUUUGAAAACUUCCAAUCUUUUUACAAAUGUAGUGUGAAGAAAUAAGAUUUUUAUCAAACUUAAAAUCAAACCCAUUGUCGUCGUUGUUGCUGUUAAUCAAACUCCACCGUUGCCGUCUCAAUCGCCAAUAACCAAGGGUAACCAAAGCUCAAGAACACCCACAAUAGUAAUGAGUACUAUUGUGGGUGCUGAUAACCAAAAAUCUAUUAACGAUAGAGGGAGAAAGCACUCUCUAUGUCAAAAUUAGAGAGAAGCUCUUAAACUCUUCUGUGUAUGCAUAAAAACCUAGAUCUACACGAUAGAAAUGUAAUUGGAGCUUAUUGAAAAAGCGUCGAAAAGUUGUUGAAGGGGUGCAAGAAUCUCUAGAGUGAGAAGGUCUCACACCUCUUCACAAGACUGCCAAAAAGUCAUUGGAAUGGGCAUAGGGAAAUAUAGAGAGAGAAAGUCCAGCACUACUCUCUAGGGGCCUACUGGGUCGAUAAGUAGCUAAUUAUUUGAGAUGGUGCGAGAGUGAGAGUGUCUAAUGUGAAAAUAUAAAUAUGAACAUUAAAGUGUGUUUAAUGUGAAAAUAUAUACACGGCCAUUAAAGCGUUUAUUAAAUGAUAUGUAUUAACAUAUAUGUGUAGGAUCAUAGAUAAAGAAACUAGUGAAAAAGUGGCGCAUAAAACUACUUGACAAUUUUUUUAUAAAAUAAUUCAAAUUUAAAAACAAAAACAAAAAGAAAGAGGAAAAAUCUUGCACCUUUAAGUCUUUCUAGUUUCAUUAAUUAUCUUAGAAACCAAACAAAAAUUAGCAGAAAAAGGACAUCAAAAAAAAUCAAAUCAAAUCAAAAAUUGACAAGGUAAUACAUUGAAGUUUGUUAAAAGAAAAAAGCUUUUCAAAGAUUUGCAGGAUAAAAAUAUAAUGACCUUACAAGAAAUGUUGUGGAUUUAAUAAGAAAAAUGAAAGUCUUAAAAGCUUAACAUCAUUUUUGUAGGAUUCAAAUCUUGUAAAAAAUCCCUUACAGGUAGGAUCUUACAAACCUAGUAAUUGGAUCUUAUAGGAUCGUGGAAUCCCGAUCCGAAUCUGAUCCUAUCCGAUCCAAUUUGUAAGUCUCAUUUUGUAUUUUUGGCCUAUUUUAUUGUAAAUUUUAUAUUUGUGUCUAAAUACCAAUUUAUAUAGUCCAAGUGAAUAAAGAAAAAAGUAAUAUUGAAUCAAAUGGAUUAAGAGAAA